CCAGUCUUCCGCCGGCGCUAACUGGUGUGGUGUGUCCUUGGGAGUGGAGCGGGCCGAGUGCUCCCGGACAGGUGUCGCAGAAAGGCGCAGACCUAGAACCAGUUGCAUACCCAAACCCGGGGCGCGUGAAGACUCCUACCUUGGAGCAGACACCCCUGGGGCUACCUCAUGUCUCUUGGCCUCGGCGGCUCGGACUCACCUCACUCGGAAGGCAUCCCACGUUAAGUGCGUGCCUCCUGCAUUUCUGCUUCUGCCUCAGGCUGGAGUGGCAGCCGGGAAGGCUUGACCCACAGGAAUCUGUGACAGUGCCUGUCAAGCGGUGGUGUUCUUCGGGGUAAACAGAUGGGCAUCUGACCGGAAUGUUGUUUGAUCUGAAUGACCAGAAAGAAAUCAAGGAUUGGUAAUCAGCAGUCCUUAGGAACCUUAUGAUCUGGACAUUCCACAUACACUGAUGACAUGCUAAUUGGACGUGGUGAAGAAGGAAGUGACAAGUGCUCUGGCCUUGGUGUGACAGGAGUAAUGCCCUGUGACUCCCAAGGGUAGACCAGGAAAGGCCAUGCAGCUCCAAGAGCAGUCACUCUGGUGGGAGCCAGCCACCACAUCAGAAGUUUGAGUACCCCGAGACUACCACGCCAGAGAGAUCAGUGGACCUGCUGGUGACAGUCUCAGCUGAGCUCCCAGCUAACAUUCCGCCAACCUUGUGAAUGAGCCGUCUGGGACACCCAGCCCAGCUUACCUCCGACUGUAACUAAACCUUAAGGGAGAGCCAGGUAAGAGCUUCCCAUCAGAGUCCUUCCUGAAUUUAUGACCCCCAAACUGUAAGCAGAAUAAAAUGGUUGUUUUAAUCCACUGAA